ensembl:snRNA U6 U6 spliceosomal RNA
CACUGUUCCCCUGUAAAUAAAAUUGGAAUGAUACAGAGAAGAUUAGCGUGACCCCUGUGCAAGGAUGAUGGACAUUUUACUUCUGAUUUGUUCCAUAAUUUC